GAAAAGAUCACAACUUACAAUUAUUGGCAAGUACUUAUCAAAUGCAGCUUCCUGCUUCGGCAACUUAUCGGUCUCAACUGGUCCUUUAGGCUGUGGAAUAUUCAUUCACUAUCUAGUAUUUUUGCACUCAUUUUACAUAGUUCCUAGACAUGAUAAGAUCUCAUACUAUCAGUUUUCUUCAACAAACAAUUACUGCAGCAGUAGACAUGAUAUUAAUUUCACCAAGAAUGGAUACAACAGUACUCAUUCUUCAACGCACAUUUACAUUCCAUCCCAAGCUAGUUAUCUGAGAAUUUUCGAUGCAAAUAUGAACCUAUUUACACUUGAUGUUUUGGACAGCUUGGAAAAAAUCCCAGACUGUAUGGAGAUGUGUCAUUUUCCAGUGGUGUUAGCAUUUUACAAUGUUCAUUCUGGAUAUGAUAGUUCACUAUAUGGAAGGAGUUGCAGUGGUUGUUCUGAACUAUGGGCGUUCAACUUUUACAUAGCUACUUGGUUGAUGGAAAGUACAGAAUCCAAAACUGGUUUCACGCAAGGAAAGAUCAAAGUUAGAUGCUCAACACAGCUGUUGUUAUUCCUGUUCUUCACCACUAUAAUAACUAUGUCCGAACUAUUAUUUUGUAUUUGUUGCGGAUUAACACACACCUACUUAGUGCUUUGUAGGUGUUACGUGGAGUUGUUUGCAUUGACUCUGCCACUGCAAGUAUGCUCUUACGAAACUUCAAAAGAUCAACAUUCAACAAAAAUAUCAUGAUGCACUGUUCCCACACAACACCUUACUAUUACUGGUUUAAUUUGGAAGAAGCUUCUAUUGAGGAGACUUACUAUACUUGAUUCUUUAGGACUGUAUCCUUUAUGUUUGGAGAUGUUUCGACAUUUAGUGGUAUUAGCAUUACAUAAUGCUCAAUCUGUGGUUGCCGCAUCACCAGAUGGGAAGAUAUAAUUCAAUUUUCCCAACUUUUGGUUUCCCCUACUACUGUGUUGCUGCCAACACAGUCAUUUCCCAGUGAUUCAAUUGUCCUGUCCUUGGCUGGUUUAUUGUUCAAAAUUUACCGCUUCAAACUUGAUCUCAACCAAAGAAAAAUCAAAUGCAUGUUUUCUGUAUCAGCAAUGUUGUUGGAGUUCUUCAGCCCCAAAAUGAAGAUGUCCAAUCUGCUUUGCUUUACAACUAGUGGAUUAAAACAUACCUACUUCAUUGGAUUACAACAAAUGGCACCCGGUGAGAGCUUUGUAGGUGCUACAAGGAAUUGUUUGCAACUUGUGUGCGAAUUCAUUAUCAUCGACAAUAGUUGGAUGUUUCAAAAUAGUAGCUUAGUACUUUUCAUUUAUCUUUAUGCUACUGCUACAUUGUAUUUGGUAGGAAUAACCAUUGGCUUUCUUUGUUUGAUUUAUUUCUCUUUUACUUGAACAUUGUGUAACUUUUUCCCAGUUUAGGAAUUAUUAUAUAUAACAGCUACUAGGUGAAUAACUUAGUAGUAUAUUUGCUUUUAAAAUAAACUACCCUUCCAACCCCUAUUUUUUAAAAUUUUCUUUUAGUAUUAGGCUUGGGCCAGAGGCCAACAGGCCCAAAAUCAAGGUCUAGCCCACCAAUCCUUUCUCAACUCACCCCCUAAUCUAGUGAGUCUGCCAAGACCAGGUCCAAUUCCAAACAAAUCCCAAGCGGCCAAACAAACUAGAUGUCGAAAUUCAAAAUUGAAAACUAAGUAAACCACUUUGAAAUUGAAACAAAUUCUAGAACUACAAUCUAUACUAGCAUAUGCAAAUAAUUGAGCAAUUAAAGUUACCUUAAAACUUGCAAUUACUAAUUGAAAUUACAGCAUGUAUUUAAUUAUCAAGCCACCUAAACACUAAUUGAUUCCAAAUUAUUGAUUAAACAUGCUCGGACAGAAUUCAUCGAGACACAUCAAUUAGAAAGAAUUAUACAGAAGGGGAGGAGUGUAUACCAAAUCUGCUAUACACCCGAUCAGCGUCAAAGAAAUGCGGUGAUUGUAAUGAAUUCUGGUGACGAUCAAUAGAACUCCGGUGAGCAAAGAGGAUUGUCACAUGAGCAUUGGCCGACAAAUGUUUAUGCGAUCCAGUGCUACAUGUAACAAUGCUCAUUACAAGCCGAAUUGAAGAAGAAAAGAUGAAGUUUGGGGAAGUUCGGCCUGUCUACGACGGUCAACGAUGUUUCGGCCACCGAAAAAUGGUAAAAAAAUGACCUCAAACGAAAGGUCUUUCCGAGACGUAUCAUUUGAUGUAAAAUUUAGGUAAAGAGGAGGUCGGGUUGAUAGUAAUUUAGCAAAGGGGCAAAAAAGUUGGGACUUUUAUUCCUAGGUCUUCUAAUCGGCAGGAUUGGGAGGUUUUUUGGGGGGAAAUGAUGUUGGAUUAAGGGUGAGGAGGUGGUGAGGAGUAUUUGAUAAUUUUUUGGGUGGAUUAGUGUUGAUCCGCCGCCGGAUGGCGAUUUUCGGGUAGUGGAAGACGGCGAAGUAAGGUGGCUAAUUUGAGAGAAUGAGAGAAUUGGGGGCAUCUAGGGUUUGGCAUAGUGGGGGGGCUG
rnacentral:lncRNA from 1 species